rnacentral:rRNA from 1 species
AUGGACGCACCUCUGGUGUACCGGUUGUCGCGCCAGCGGCACGGCCGGGCAGCUAUGUGCGGAUCGGAUAAACGCUGAAAGCAUCUAAGCGUGAAGCCGUCCUUAAGAUAAGAUAUCCCACUUUUAAAGUUAAGACCCCUUGUGGACUACGAGGUUGAUAGGCUUAAUGUGUAAGCGCUGUGAGGCGUUUAGCUUGCAAGUACUAAUCGGUCGAGGGCUUAUCCUA